UACGUAGGGUGCGAGCGUUAAUCGGAAUUACUGGGCGUAAAGCGUGCGCAGGCGGUGAUGUAAGACCGAUGUGAAAUCCCCGGGCUCAACCUGGGAAUUGCGUUGGAGACUGCAAGGCUGGAGUCUGGCAGAGGGGGGGUAGAAUUCCACGUGUAGCAGUGAAAUGCGUAGAGAUGUGGAGGAACACCGAUGGCGAAGGCAGCCCCCUGGGGUCAAGACUGACGCUCAUGCACGAAAGCGUGGGGAGCAAACAGG
rnacentral:rRNA from 1 species